UGGACGAAGUGAUCUUAAGACUGAAAUGAUAAAAAUUGGAUUGAAUUCCAACAUGAAUUUAACCAUGUCGUUGCAGGUGAAGAAUAUUUGUUUAGAUUUGUACACCUUCAAAGAUUUCCCAAAUCUUCAUUUUCCGGGGGAUGCAAUUUCGUAUAUUCGAGGCGUGCCAUGGCUUUAAUAUCACGGAUGUGCGUUUUGGGGGUUUUUUUCCAUUCGUAGUUAACGGUUCUUGUUCCUCCGAUUAUUCAGCUGAAUCUCUUGACGUCAUUGGACGAAUAUACACUCGAUGCGAUAUUAUAACAACAGCUGUUGCUGGUCUGCAGUUCAAAAUCACCGAGUUUACCGUCUACACAUCUGUGCUCACGGCCGGUUAGUCGUAUUCCGAAAGCACCUAGCCUAAGUAAGUGCGUUUCUUCUCCUCACUCCUCCCCGUCUUGUACUGGCGUAUAAUAGUAGGUACUAAGUGUUGUACAUAUAGAAGCAAACGGAAUUAUUAUAUUCAUCUAUAUACGAUAAUGUGUACAAUUUCUAUUCAAAACCUUU